rnacentral:lncRNA from 1 species
CCUGCAGCAUAAGGAAGUUCAGGCUAGGGGGCAAAUCAGUGGUCCAGCUGCUGGCCUACACCACCACAGCCACAGCAAUGCCAGUUCUGAGCCAUACCUGCAACCAACAUCACAGGUUAUGGCAAUGCUGGAUCCUUAACACACUGAGCAAGGCCAGGGAUCAAACCUGCAUCUUCAUGGAUACUAUGUUGGGUUCUUAACCCACUGAGCUAUGAUGGGAACUCAAUACUUUUUAUUAAAAAUAAGAAAUUCUGCAGUUGCUGUUGUGGUUCGGUGGUUAACAAACCCAACUAGUAUCUGUGAGGACUUGGGUUCGAUCCCUGGCCUCGCUCAGUGGGUUAAGGAUCUUGCGUUGCCAUGAGCUGUAGUGUAAGUCACAAAUGUGGCGCAGAUUCGGUGUUGCUGUGGCUAUGGUGUAGGCUGGCAGCUACAGCUCUGAUUUGACACCUAACCUGGGAACCUCCAUAUACCACAGGCGCAGCCCUAAAAAGACAAAAGACCAAAAAAAAAAAAAAAAAAAAUUCUUUUUUUGAGAGUCAAAAGGUAGAUUACUGCUAUGAUUUAGUACUGCAACAAAAUUUUCAUACACACUAUCCUUAAAACACCUGUGAAAUAAUCUGGUUUCCUGACCUCCAGUGAACCCAGGUAAACUGAGAACCAAAAUGAACAAGCUAGCUUCUCCCACAAGCCCAGAGACAAGCAGCCAAAUGGAGAUGCAAUGAAGCACCACCUCCCUUAAAUAUCAGGCAGAAAUUACUUUAAAGCUUGUCUCCAAAUCAGGACUUUCCUUCUAUGUAAUAGAGUGAGCCCCUGCCAGCCAAAUAGAAAUGUUCACACUCCUCCAAAAUUCCGCAAGGAAAAAAUGUUUUGACAUCCAUUCCUUAUCUCUCCAUGCACCGACUACUCUCGGAGCUUCUAUAUGACAGCACCUAAGGCAAGUCCAGAUUCCUCAGCCUCUCUCCUCCUGGUGAUUAAAAAUAAGCUUCCAAUCAUCACUUGGCAAUAAGGUUAGCUGUCAAGUGUCCAGUUCCAACUCAGUCACUCUUUUUAUGCCCCCGGCAGAAGUCAGAGCCUCACUGGGCCCAUUCCAGGAACACUCCCCAACCCCAGUCUAAAGCCAGGAGACAGCCAGAGAAAAAAAUCUGAAACACUGGGUAGAAAAGUGCCAAAACUGUGUUUCUAAGAUUCUUCUAUUGGAGACUUUUUAUUUAUUUAUUUUUUGCUUUUUAGGGCUGCACCCGAGGCAUAUGGAAGUUCCCAGGCUAGAAGUCAAAUCGGAGCUGCAGGCACCAGCCUGUGCCAUAGCAACACAGGAUCCGAGCCGCAUCUGUGAAUUACACCACAGCUCAGGGCAAUGCCAUAUCCUUAACCCACUGAGUGAGGCCAGGGAUUGAAGCCACAACCUCAUGGUUAUUACUCGGAUUCGUUUCCACUGUGCCACAAAGGGAACUCCUGGAGACUUUUUAGAAUAAAAUCAUUAAAAAGUACAAUUAAAAGAAAGUUAAGGAGGCAUUCCCACUGUGGCCCAGAGGGUUAGGAAUCUGAGUUAAUCGGCUUGGGUCACUGCGGAGGCAGGAGUUCAAUUCCCAGCCUUGGGGCCGUGGCUUCAGGAUCCAGUAUUGCUAUAGCUGUGGCAUAGGUUGCAGCUGCAGCUCAGAUUCAGUCCCUGGCCCAUGAACUUCCAUAUGCUGUGGGUAUGACCAUUAAAAAAUACAUGAAAGAUUAAGAAUCAAAAUCACCAAAAUUAUAACUAAUAAAUUUUGAUAUUGUAGAUGCAGAUAAAAUUUUGACUGUCAGAAUAACCCUGAAUAAAUAUUCAAAACACUUGACUCACACUUUAAUAAUCAGAAUUCUGCCAGUGUGUACAAACAGUUUGAAUAGCAAAUAGUGAAUGAAGAAUACUGCUUGUUAUCAUGGUCACUAUCUAUCUGUAAUUCUGAGGAAAUCAAUUCUUUCCAGAGAUUACAGAUUUUCAUUUUAUAAAAAACAAUACUACUUGGAUCUUUUAUAGGAAUCUCUGAAGAAUGACAAAAACAGUGUAGGGUAAGUUAAGGUGCUAAGAGUUUAGAAGAGGUAUAUUAUUAUAAUAUCAUACUCAGACAUAAGGGUAAACAAACCUAGCAUGUCAAACACACACACACACACACACAAAGUUCGUUAUAAUGCAAGAUAUUGCUAGAGAAUAACUGCAUGUUUAAUACAUUAUUUCAUAUUCUUUAGAAACUUACUGAACUCAACUCUUAGGAGUUGUUCUGAAGAGAUGCCAAAUAUUUAAUCAGAUUUUUAUUAUUGGAAACCACAUAAUUUUAUAUUUUACUUUAUAAUACAGCAUACCAAUAACCUCACAGAGAAUGUAGCUUACAUAUUUGUUUAGAGUUCAGGCAAGGGAGAGCUAACUACAGGGAAACUUUAACCACUCAGAACAGACAAGACAGGGAAGGUGAGAACAGCCAUUUUCAGAAUUUGACCCUUCGUCUGCCAUCCAUUUUAUUAAAGGAUAAAUGGACCAGUAGAAGAGACUUAAAUCCUCUUUCAAUGUGUUUAAAUGUUAUUUUGGGGGAGUUCCCUUUGUGGCUAAGUGGUUCACAAACCUGAAUAGGAUCCAUGAGGACGCAGGUUCAAUCCCUGACCUCAAUCAGUGGGUUAAGGAUCGGGCGUUGCCGUGAGCUGUGGUAUAGGUCACAGACUCGCCUCGGAUCCCUGUUGCUUCAAUUUGAUCCCUAGCCUGGGAACCUCCAUAUAUUGUGGGUUUGGUCCUUAAAAAAAAAACAAAAACAAAAACAAAACCAGGCACACACAAAAAAACCCAAAAACUAAAAAUCAAGUCAAUUUCUAAGUAUUUGAACAAGGAUAUUCUUUUUGCCUAAGGAAAAAAAAUCACCUUUCAAUUUCAGUAGAUUUUUUCCUGAUACAGUCUUAAUGAAAUUGAGAAAUGCAGGGUCUCUUAUUCACAAAAUAUGGUGGAAGUGGAGCAAUUAAAGAAAAUGUGAAGUAUCCAUUUAAACUUGUAAUAUAACAUUCUACAAAUCCAACUUAAUAUUACUCAAUAGUCUAAUUUUUAAAGAAUCCAAAUUUCAGUAUUAACUUUUUUCUUUCAUAUGUUUAACACCAAAACCACUUUUUGCUAUAGUGCCAUUUGUGAAUUAGGACUUUUAGUGGUUUGUUUACAUUUUGUUUUAUGAUUCUAACAACCUAAAGUUACCCUCAAAUUAUUUACCACCUGGGUAAUCAAAUUUAGUAAUUAAUAAACAUAGGACCAAUAACAUAAGGAAAUGUUAGCAAGUACUAAAACAAUGCUAUAAACAAUAUGGAGUUCUGACUGGCAACGAUGAGAUUGGAGGUUCAAUCCCUGGCCUUGCUCAGUGGGUUGGGGAUCUAGCGUUGCCAUGAGCUGUGGUGUAGGUCACACACCCUCUCAGUGAGAUAGAUAACAUGAUUCCUAUUUUCAAAACUAGUAACAGAUGCUUAACUACAAAGCAAGUUUUUUUUUUUGGUCACAAGCUUCAUUAAGCAAAUCUUAAUUGUUAAUGAAAUUACAGUGUAUAUAAGAGCAAAAUUUUUUUUAAAAAUUAUUGAAAACGGCUUUAUUAUAAAAUAUUCAAAACCAGACACCGCCGCGGCACGGAGGAAGAGCCGCCAUCCUCCUCCCUGGCGAUCCCGCCUGAUGCCAGACUUGGUGGCAGAACCAAAAAAAGUUAUUUAUGGACUCCAAUGAGUGGAGAUGGAUGAUGCAGUUCAAAUAACUAAGGAUCAAGGUUGGUUGCAUAUAUCAGAAAAUAGGUUGAGCCAGAAUAAAGAUGGCGGAAUAGAAGGACUGGAGCUCAACUUCUCUCCUAAGAACAACAAAAUUCACAACUAAAGACUGAGCAUUAUUCACCCAAAUGGACGAGAAACGUUAAAAAAGAUAUCCUACUCCAGAAGAAAAAGAGGAGGACACAUCAAGAGGUAGGAGGGGCGAUUUCAUGACAUAAAUAACCCCAUAACUCCUGGGUGGGAAGCUCUACAGACUGGAAACUAACUGAUUCACAGAGACCCACCUACAGGAAUGAGAGUUCUGAGUCCAACAUCAAACUCUAAAGUGUGGGGAUCUGGCACUGGGAGAAAGAGCCCCUGGAGCAUCUGGCAUUGAAGGCCAGUGGAGCGAGCUCCACAGGACCAAGGGAAAAAGAGACCCCAUUCUUAAAAGGUGCACACAGACUUUCAGGUGCACUGGGUUCCAGGGCAGAGCAAGGUCUCCAUAGGAAUCUGGGUCAACCUGACUGCAGUUCUUGGAGGACAUCCUGGGAAAACAGGGGUGAAUGUGGCUUGUGGUGAGGGAAGGACAUUGAAAGCAAAGCUCUUGGGAAUGUUCAACAGCUUGCCUUUCUCUGGAGGUGGCCAUUUUGGGAAAAUCUGGCCCCACCUGUCAGUCAGCUGCUGAGAAGCCCCAGGGCAAACAACAAUCCAGGUGGGAUCCCAGCCCAACCCAUCAGGAAACAGGCCACCUAAAGACCC